AAACCUUGGAGUUUGGUCAGAUUUGGGAGUCCCAAGUGGUCCAAAUUCGAAAUUUUGGGGCUGGUCAGAUUUGGAAGUCAGAUUUUGCACAAAAUUUGGUAAACUUGUAGGCUGUCAAGAAUUGGAUGUUGUUCAGAUUUGGAAGUCCAAGUUUGAAUCAGAUUUGGUGGCUUGAAUGCUGACCAAGACUAGGGCUGUUCAGAUUUGAAAGUCCAAGUUUGAAUCAGAUUUGGUAAAACUUGAAGGCUGGUCAAGAAUUGGAAACUAGAGCCGUCUUUCUUGAAAUUUUUUUUUGACUUCUGUUGGGGUGUUUUCACACAAUAGCCAGCUAGCUUAGACCACAAUUUCACAGCAAUUAACGUAAACAACUUGGACAGAUUUGGUUUCAAGAUCAAAGUUCCAUGAAAACAAGAACACGGUUGAAGGUUUAUUUCAGGUUUCAAGACUGCCAAGAUUAACCUCUUUGAUCCAAGAAGCUCAAGACUUCCCCAAUAAGGUUUUGAUGUUCGAGUUUUGCAAAGCAACAACACAAAGGUUCAAGAAACAAGUGCAAACAGAUUUGGCAACCCAGCAAUUAAUUCCAGCAACGACUCAAGGGAAUGACAAUAAGGUAUGCAACACAAGAGAUUUUUUUUUUUUUCUGGAUUUAAACAGAACAUAAACACAAGACAAAACUGGACAGAAAAUUUCGGACAACAACUAAACAACAAAGACAGAUUUCUGACAAGGAAACAACCAAGACAGAUUUCUGACAAGGAAACAACAAAGACAGAUUUCGGACUUGACAAACCCGAGCACUUGAGCUACGAAUUUAGAAGACUAAAAUAGAUCUAAAAACGAUAAAAAGGGAUAUUCGUGAUACCUCUAACUAGCUCUGAUGCCAGCUGAUACGAGACGCGGAAGCUACUUCGGAUCUAGAGGAACACGAUGAAGAUUUGACGGAGUUGAACCCGAACUUGGACCACUCAAGAACAGAUUUAAC
rnacentral:lncRNA from 1 species